GGGGCGGCAGUAGAACCGUUACCAUUACUAAAGUCAGUAAUGGUAACGGUUUCAUUGACACUC
rnacentral:pre_miRNA from 1 species